UACGGAGGGUGCGAGCGUUAUCCGGAUUCACUGGGUUUAAAGGGUGCGUAGGUGGGCAGGUAAGUCAGUGGUGAAAAUCUCCGGGCUUAACCCGGAAACUGCCAUUGAUACUAUCAGUCUUGAAUACCAGUGGAGGUAAGCGGAAUAUGUCAUGUAGCGGUGAAAUGCUUAGAGUAUGACAUAGAACACCAAUUGCGAAGGCAGCUUACUACCCGAAUAUUGACACUGAGGCACGAAAGCGUGGGGAUCAAACAGG
rnacentral:rRNA from 1 species